rnacentral:rRNA from 1 species
UACGUAGGGGGCAAGCGUUGUCCGGAUUCACUGGGCGUAAAGAGCUCGUAGGCGGUUUGGUAAGUCGGGUGUGAAACCUCCAGGCUCAACCUGGAGCCGCCACUCGAUACUGCCAUGACUAGAGUCCGGGUAGGGGACCAUGGAAUUCCUGGUGUAGCGGUGAAAUGCGCAGAUAUCAGGAGGAACACCGGUGGCGAAGGCGGGUCGUCUGGGCCGGACUGA